UAUACACUGCGCUGUGACAUGAAGCGGUCUCUGUUGGCCAAGGACUUGACAAAGACCUGUGAAUUUAUCGUUCACUCCGCUCCUCAGAAGGGGAAGUUUACUCCCAGUCCCGUGGACUUCACGAUUACACCUGAAACCUUACAGAACGUCAAAGAGGAUCAAGUGAAGGACAAGCUGGGAGGCCUGGGCCCUGGGAUGUCAUUGGCCUCAUCCCUCAGAGGCUGGACAUGUGUCGUGGGGAGCCUUUCAGACAGGCCCCCGCCCGAUGGCAGGCUGACCACACGCCCUGCGAGCACACCCGCUCUCACUGCUCCCCCUGCCACCUGGAGGACGGGUGCCCCGAACUCCCGGGAGCCGGAUUGUCUGUCCACUUUCUGCCGGACAGAAACACUUCACUGGGGUGGUCCCCACGGGGCGUUCCUUGUGGCUUUUCUAGGUAUAGGUUUAUUUGUAAACACGAAGAACUUUUCUUUCCACAGAACCAUUCAGGUUUAUUGUUGGAAAAUAAGAAAAUAACACAUAAAACAAAUAAAAUAAAAUUUCUUAUUCACAAAA
rnacentral:sRNA from 1 species